rnacentral:rRNA from 1 species
CCGGCACGGGUGAGUAACACGUAUGCAAUCCACCUGUAACAGGGGGAUAACCCGGAGAAAUCCGGACUAAUACCCCAUAAUAUGGGCGCUCCGCAUGGAGAGCCCAUUAAAGAGAGCAAUUUUGGUUACAGACGAGCAUGCGCUCCAUUAGCCAGUUGGCGGGGUAACGGCCCACCAAAGCGACGAUGGAUAGGGGUUCUGAGAGGAAGGUCCCCCACAUUGGAACUGAGACACGGUCAA